rnacentral:rRNA from 1 species
UCGAGAAUCUUCGGCAAUGGACGCAAGUCUGACCGAGCGAUGCCGCGUGCGGGAUGAAGGCCCUCGGGUUGUAAACCGCUGUCAGUUGGGAGGAAGGCUCUGUGAAGAGCAGAGUUUGACCCAUCUUCAGAGGAAGUACGGGCUAAGUUCGUGCCAGCAGCCGCGGUAACACGAACCGUACGAACGUUAUUCGGAAUCAUUGGGCUUAAAGGGUGCGUAGGCGGUGCGUUAAGUCGGGUGUGAAAUCCCUCAGCUCAACUGAGGAACUGCGCCCGAUACUGGCGUGCUCGAGGGAGACAGGGGUAAGCGGAACUGAUGGUGGAGCGGUGAAAUGCGUUGAUAUCAUCAGGAACACCGGUGGCGAAAGCGGCUUACUGGGUCUCUUCUGACGCUGAGGCACGAAAGCUAGGGUAGCGAACGGGAUUAGAUACCCGUGUAGUCC